rnacentral:rRNA from 1 species
GACAAACGCUGGCGGCAUGCCUAACACAUGCAAGUCGAACGGACAGAACAGGGAAGCUUUUCGGAGUGGAACUGGAAAGUUAGUGGCGGAUGGGUGAGUAACGCGUGGACAACCUACCUUGUAAAGGGGAAUAACCUCGAGAAAUCGAAGCUAAUACCCCAUAAUAACCUUGCUUCGCAUGAAGUAAGGAGGAAAGGCGGCCUUAGCGCUGUCGAUACAAGAUGGGUCCGCGUCUGAUUAGCUAGUUGGUGAGGUAAAGGCUCACCAAGGCGACGAUCAGUAGCCGGCCUGAGAGGGUGAACGGCCACAUUGGGACUGAGACACGGCCCAAACUCCUACGGGAGGCAGCAGUGGGGAAUCUUCCGCAAUGGGCGAAAGCCUGACGGAGCAAUGCCGCGUGAGUGAAGAAGGCCUUCGGGUUGUAAAACUCUGUCCCUAUCGAAGAGAGAGUGUUGUAGUAACUGACAAUACUAGGACGGUAGAUGAGGAGGAAGCCCCGGCUAACUAUGUG